AUUCAGCUGACCAGUCUUAAAUAGGAUAAAACGCGCGUUCUGGAU
rfam:Schistosoma mattheei strain Denwood, Zambia genome assembly, scaffold: SMTD_scaffold0005594